rnacentral:rRNA from 1 species
AGCGAACGCUGGCGGCAGGCCUAACACAUGCAAGUCGAACGAACCUUUCGGGGUUAGUGGCGGACGGGUGAGUAACACGUGGGAACGUGCCUUUAGGUUCGGAAUAACUCAGGGAAACUUGUGCUAAUACCGAAUGUGCCCUUCGGGGGAAAGAUUUAUCGCCUUUAGAGCGGCCCGCGUCUGAUUAGCUAGUUGGUUGAGGUAAUGGCUCACCAAGGCGACGAUCAGUAGCUGGUCUGAGAGGAUGAUCAGCCACAUUGGGACUGAGACACGGCCCAAACUCCUACGUGAGGCAGCAGUGGGGAAUCUUGCGCAAUGGGCGAAAGCCUGACGCAGCCAUGCCGCGUGAAUGAUGAAGGUCUUAGGAUUGUAAAAUUCUUUCACCGGGGACGAUAAUGACGGUACCCGGAGAAGAAGCCCCGGCUAACUUCGUG